rnacentral:rRNA from 1 species
AUGCCAUGGCCGGCCUUCCUGGCGGUGGCCGCGAAGCUCAUCGUCCUUGCGGCGGCCGCCGCGACGGCGGCAAACGCGGCCUCCUACGCGCGGUUCCGGAGGCGCCACCUCCGCCGCAUCCGUAGCCCCAUCGACGAGUCGGCCGACCCCGUUGUCGAUUUCCGCUCCCUGCCCUCCUCCGCCACCGCAGCAGAAGAUGAUGAUUUCUUCUUCGGGUUAGCGACCGCGCCUGCGCAUGUUGAAGACAGGCUGGACGAUGCUUGGCUUCAGUUUGCGACCGAACAAUCCGUUGAUGACAAGGAGUCCAUGCGCAACCAGAAACAAGUCGAUGCAGUGAUGGCCUCUGCUGGUGGUGAUGGAGGCUCUCAGCCAUCUUCUAGGCUAAGUGGGGACGAAAAGGGUACCGAUGGAGAGAAAAGGAAGCCUCUUAGGGUAGCCAUGGAGGCUAUGCUCAGAGGAUUUGAAAAGUUUUCUGAGGGUGAAGAAUCUAGUGGUGGAGAUAACUGCAGCCACAAUGUUGCUGCUUGGCACAAUGUUCCAUGCCCGCAAGAGAGGCUUAAAUUUUGGUCCGAUCCUGAUACUGAGUUGAAACUUGCUAAGGAAACCGGCGUUAGUGUUUUCCGCAUGGGCGUAGACUGGACAAGAAUAAUGCCUAAGGAACCAACUGAAGAUUUCAAGAGCUCGGUUAAUUUUGCAGCACUUGAGCGGUAUAGAUGGAUCAUUCAAAGAGUUCAUGAGCAUGGGAUGAAAGUAAUGCUUACCCUAUUUCAUCACUCACUUCCACCUUGGGCUGGGGAAUAUGGUGGAUGGAAGAUGGAAAAAACUGCUAAUUAUUUCAUGGAUUUUGUAAGGCUUGUUGUUGACCGUGUGUUAGAUUUAGUGGACUACUGGGUGAUUUUCAAUGAACCACAUGUGUUUGUGAUGCUAACUUAUUGUGCCGGAGCUUGGCCUGGUGGGGAUCCUAAUGCAAUUGAAGUAGCAACAUCUGCUUUACCAACCGGUGUAUAUAAUCAAGCUUUGCAUUGGAUUGCUGUUGCGCAUGCUGAAGCUUAUGACUACAUUCAUUCAGAAAGCAAGAAUGCAAUGAUGCCAAUAGUUGGUGUUUCACAUCAUGUAUCGUUUACACGGCCAUAUGGUCUAUUUGAUGUUGCGGCUGUCACAAUAGCUAACUCAAUGACCCUAUUCCCUUUCAUCGAUAGCAUCUGUGAUAAGCUGGAUUUUAUUGGCAUCAAUUACUAUGGUCAGGAGGUAAUAUCAGGACCUGGCCUAAAGCACGUGGAAAAUGAUGAGUACAGUGAAUCUGGUCGUGGAGUUUAUCCCGAUGGGCUGUUUCGCAUCCUACUUAAGUUCAAUGAGCGAUACAAGAGCUUAAACAUACCUUUUAUCAUUACUGAAAAUGGAGUUUCUGAUGAGACUGAUCUGAUUCGGAAACCAUAUAUACUGGAGCACCUGUUAGCCAUAUAUGCGGCCAUUUUAAUGGGUGUGCGUGUGGUUGGCUAUCUAUUCUGGACAACGUCGGAUAAUUGGGAGUGGGCUGAUGGCUAUGGUCCCAAGUUUGGGCUUGUUGCUGUUGACCGUGCUAAUAACCUAGCACGGAAACCUCGCCCUUCGUACUAUUUGUUCUCCAAGGUUGUCACAACUGGAAAAAUUAUGAGACAGGACAGAACAUCUGCUUGGAGGGAACUGCAAGAAGCUGCGAUUCAGAAGAAAACACGCCCAUUUUACAGGGAAAUAGAUAAACAUGGUCGUAUGUAUGCAGGGGGUCUAGAUCGGCCUAUUGAGCGAACUUUUGUAUUGCGGGACUGGCGAUUUGGCCACUAUGAAAUGGAAGGCUUGCAGGAUCCUUUGAGUCGCUUUGUAAGAUGCGUUAUGCGGCCAUUUCCACGCAGGAAGAUUCACUACAUUGAGGACGAUGCAAUUUCUUACUCUAUUUCUUCUUGA